rnacentral:misc_RNA from 1 species
GGAGAAGACUGCUGGUGGCUUGCUUCUGACCCAAGCGUCGAAGGAAAAACCCUCUGUUGGAACAGUGGUUGGUGUCGGGCCUGGAGCUCUGGAUGAAGAAGGCAACAGGAUACCACUGACUGUCAGCGCUGGCAGCACCGUAUUAUAUUCAAAGUUUGCAGGGAAUGAGUUCAAGAGUGCCGAUGGGACUGACUACAUUGUUCUAAGAGCAUCUGAUGUGAUGGCCAUCCUCUCUUAAACUGUCAUGUGAGAAGAAGCUGCUAGGGAAACAUGGUUAAUCAAGAAGGAUUUGGACGGCUUUGUAUCUGCUGUUUGGUCUUGCAAUUCAAAAUCCUCGGAGUAGUUUGUAUUCGGGGUGUUGAGAAAAGAUGAAUAAUCAACGAUUGUUUCGUUUUAA